CAUGUUCCUGCAGCCCCUCAACCACAGAGGAAGAGGAAGGUUUUACUCUCAGCCUCUGAACAUCUCUAUCAGAGCUCUGAGAGACACAAUGAAGGAAACAUCUGUCAGAUUUCUGCUCAUUCUGACCUCGGUGCUGAGCUGCACAACAAACCAAGCAGCUGCUCUGACUGUGAGUCAAAGCAGAUCUCAGUUCUUCAUCAGAGACUCUGUGUCUCUGAGCUGUGAGGAGAACAACAGCUCUGCUGGAUGGACUGUAUGGAGGAACACAACCAGAGGAACCAGGACUCAGUGUGGAGAUGGAUGGGGGAACAGGUUGG